rnacentral:sRNA from 1 species
ACAGUAGCCAGACGUCUGAAUGUGACUCGCCAAGAGGAGUGUUUGGUAUUCAUAUUGAUGAUGACUCUGUAGAGGAAGAAUUUAAAGGUCAAGCAUGAAGAAACAGAUUUAGGAAGACUUGGUGUUUUUAUCUGGAUACCCAUCAUUCUGGCCCUUACAAUUAGAGAUUAUGGAAAAGAGCCCUCUAUGGCCCCCUAAGCCUGUAGGUCUGUGUUAUUACUUUCAUGGUUUUCAGUUUUGCUGGCCAAGAAAAAAGACCCAAGGGAGUAACAUAUUAUUUUCUACAAGGAUGUUCUAAAACCACUCAGGCCUGUGAGUGAAAUGAUUUGCUGCACUGCAAGGGAGGGUCUUUCACAGACGAAAGGUUCUUAAUUUGAUGAAGUUCAGUUUAUCACCUUUUCCUUUUUAUUCAUCAUGCUUUUGAUGUCAAGUCAAAGAACUCUGCCUACCCAUAAAUCUCUAAGGUUUUCUCCCGAGUGUUUUCCUAAAAAU